UACUUCUCGGAGUCACACCUGGAGAGUUUCCAGUACUCUACCAGUCUCGACUACAGGAGAGUCAAGCAGAGGCCUACCCAUUCCAGUCCUGGCUUGGGCAGUGGCUAGCGAGUGGAAGGCAAUCUGCUACAAGU